CGUGCUGAUCACCGAAACCAACGAUCCGGUUGGAACCCGCGUAUUCGGUCCGGUAGCACGCGAACUGCGGGACAAGAAGUUUAUGAAAAUCGUAUCCCUGGCGCCGGAGGUGAUCUGAUGGCGCUCUCGCGGCGCUAACCGGCGGAGCCGGUGCGCAUUCAACUCAAGAAGAACGACCAGGUCCGGGUCAUCUCGGGCCGCGACAGAGGCAAGAACGGGCGCGUGCUCAGCGUCGAUCCGCAAACCAACAAGGCGCUGGUCGA
rnacentral:misc_RNA from 1 species